rnacentral:lncRNA from 1 species
UGCGCGGGAUGGGCCUCGGGGACUGCGGGAGUUUGUGGGGCUGCUGCGCACGGUGGUGGUGCGGGUGAGAUGGGGAGGUGGAGGACGACGACGACGACGAGGUGGAAGAGGAAGGGGAGUUGGGGUCCCGCUGAUGAGGCAUGGGGAGGAGUUGCUUGGUGGAAACCUCCAUUGGAGUGUGUGGGUUUUGGCGUUGGUGGGGGAGAGAAGAGGGCCGGGGAGGUG